rnacentral:tRNA from 1 species
GCGGGCAUGACGGAAUUGGCAGACGUGCAGGAUUUAGGUUCCUGUGCCAUUCGGCGUGUGGGUUCAACUCCCACUGCCCGCACCA